AUCGAACGCUGGCGGCAGGCCUAACACAUGCAAGUCGAGCGGAUGAAGCGAGUUUGCUCCUGGAUUCAGCGGCGGACGGACGAGUAAUGCAUAGGAAUCUGACUGGUAGUGGGGGAUAACGUACGGUAACGGGAGCUAAUAUCGCACACGUCCUGUGGGCGAACGUCGGGGAUCUUCGGACCACACGCUCUCAGACGAGCCUAGGUCGGAUUAGCUAGUUGGUGGGGUAAAGGCCCACCAAGGCGGCGAUACGUAACUGGUCUGAGAGGGUGAUCAGUCACACUGGGACUGAGACACGGUCCAAACUCCUACGGGAGGCAGCAGUGGGGAAUCUUGGACAAUGGACGAAAGCCUGAUCCAGCCAUGCCGCGUGAGUGAAGAAGGUUUUCGGAUCGUAAAGCACUUUUGGUUGAGAAGAAGGAGAGUAAGUUUAAAUCUUGGCGUUUUGACGUUACCAACAGAAUAAGCACCGGCUAACUUCGUG
rnacentral:rRNA from 1 species